UGAUAUAUAUAUAUAUAUCAUUUCUCUUUGCUUUUAAGGGAUUUGUUUGACGAAGGGAAUCUUAUAAUAAAAUAUAUGUAUAAUGAUAUCGAUGACUUAUGAUAUGUGUCAGAAAAAGGUAACGAGAUUUACUCUUUAUUAUAAUGAAAUUGGCUUGAAAAUUGUGUCUGAUUGAAAUAAUAUGGAAUUUUUUCGUAGCAGUGAGCUGCGCAACGGAAGGUUAAAGAGGUUUUGGUUGGUGAAGCGAGCGUGUAAUAACUUGAUUAUAAUUCGAUUAAGCGUGAUUAUAUAUAUAGAAAGAGAAAUGUAACAGCAUACAUUUGUUCACUGUAGCAUUAUAGUUAAUGAAUGGAUCUGGUUUCAGGGGCGGAGAGAUAUGUAUUUUAAUACAUUACAAUUCUUUCGCUAUAUUUGGAGCAUAUUAAAAUUUCAAAAGAAAUAAUGACAUGCUUAAGUAAGUGAAUAUUUUUUUCAUAAUAUUCGUUUCUGUCAGAAAAAUAUACGGAAGAAUUCGUUUCAUCCAAAAGGCGAAAGGAGUACUAAACUUUAGUAAAUGUAAUAAAAUAUAACAAAAAUAUAAUUAAUUAUUUAUGGAAUCUUACAAAUCAGCUUUAUGCAACUAAUUGUAAGUAUUAAAUACAGAUACAUUCAAUGAAAAUCAAAGUGAUUCUACAUAGAGAACAUUUAGAAUUAAUUUGUUAACUGCUGAGUCACUAGACUGGAAAUGAUCUGAUGAGCUGUAUGUAUAACAAAAUACUAAUUUAUACAAAAACAAUUCUGCUACUUUCGAUGUUACUGUUGAGAUAAAAACUAGAUAUAGUGUAAAGUACGUGGGCGGAAUUAUCAAAUGUUUGAAACGAAUUACAACAGAUUCUCAUUUUCUUGAACCACAUUUAUUGGAAUGAAAUGUUGGUUAAUAGUUAAAUCCCCUUGUCUGAAUAUAAUUUAUUAUUAUUUGGAUGAAAAAUUGCAGAUAGAGAAAAUUAUUGUAGCAACUAACUGUUUAUGCGGCUAGAAUUCAUUAAUUUCCCUCGCUAUCUGCGAUUUGUCCACGGAAAUAAAGUUCUAGUGUAAUUCGGACUUUAUUCGGAUUUCAUUAUGUACGCGUAAUGAUUUAAAUGAUUUCAAAUGGUACAUUAGUGCCUGCUUCAGGAGUGGAGACUUUUUAAACGUUUCAAAGUUACCUUCAUCUUCUUUGAUAUAACUAUAUGCUGUUUUAUGAAUUAAUUAAAAUAAUGUUGAAUUCUAUAGAAGGAAGUAAGCUUUUUCAAAACAAGUUCAAAAGAAAUUUAGAACUAGUUACUGUAAUCAUAUACUCUUUCCAUUCCAUUAAUAGAAAUAUAUAAAUUAUACAGUUCAUUUUAAAACAUCAUAUUCUCAAAUUGAAAAAAGAACAGUUAAAUUGCAUGUAACUUUUAAACUUUUUUAUAGUUUCAUUUGCUAUGGCCUACAAGGAAAUGGAACUAUUUGUCCACAACUGCAAACAUUCAUAAUUUGUAAAAUACUUCAAAUUAAUCUAAUUAGUCAAUUCAAUGGAAGAAGAUCGAUUAGUACUGGAAUUAACUGCUGUUUUGAUUGAAUAACAUAGAAACGGAAAAACAACAGUGGAAGCUGUAGAAUAAUUGAAAACGAAGUAAUAUUAUAUCAAGGACAGCAUAGAAGAUGCUUGAACGCUUUUCGUCAUUACUUUUUGCUAAUCCGUGGUUACCGUUUCGACAAUUGUUACAUAUUUGCCACAAACGCAAUGAGAAUUCGUGGGGACCGAGUGUAAAUAGUAAUAGUGAAACUUUCGUCUCAUUUAUUAUCAAAACUAUUAUCAGUUCACAAGACAAUGCAAGCAAUUUUUAAUAGAAUCAUCUUUAAUUAAGAACAGACUUCACUUACUAGUAAUAAAACUUCUUCUGACACAAAACUAUCUAAAAUUGUUAGAAAAAUCAAGAUCAAAAUAUGCCCCUAAUUGUGGUACCAUUUCUGGCUUCCUUUGACACAAAACAGUCCAAUGCUGCACGAAACACUAUCAAAAUUAUAUCAGAUUUAGCGGAAAAAAUGAAUACAUUCUAUUAAGAAAAGAAAACUACAAAUUACAUAAGAAUGCAAUGGCUGAAAAUCAGUAACAUUUUCACCAUGAUCUUAAUACACAAAACAUCUUUUACCUAAUCUAAACCUAUUCCAAAAAGAUGGAAAGUAAAUAAAUGAGAAGUCAAGAGAAAGUAUAAUGGCAAGAGAAAGGUCCAAACAGAGAGAUCCUCCACCGGUGCACCAAAAAUUCACAAGAAGACUGAAUCACUCACCAUGUCGUAAAUGUAGUUGUUAUGACUAUCGAAAAUCUUUCUCGACGGUCUCCGGAUGUGUCAAGCUCCUCCCCUUGGUGGGUGGAUUCCGGUGAAUUUGUUGCACAAAAUGAAGAAGAAGAAGAAA